CAUUCUUCUUCGGCAGUAUGCCUGCCGCUGGAUGGAAGGGCUAGAGUCUUGUACUCCUGGCUUCUUUAUGAGAAUCACCAUAAACUAUCAUCUUCUCUUGAUAAACAUUUUAAGUGAGAAAUCUUUUCACUUCUCAAAAAAAAAAAAAAAACCUGCAGCAAAUAAUGGACUUUCUCUAUAAAGUGCCUUACACCGUGGAAAUGCUGUGAGGAAGCUAAGUAGAAAGUUCCAGAGUACCACUGUGUCCCUGCUCCUUCUUCUGACAGCAGCACUUCGGCUUUCCUUGGAGAGUGCUCUUCAACCUUCUCUGUUCCUAUGCUUCUGUAGCGGCGCAUGGCCCAGGCCCCAGGGGUGGACACAGAACCCAGGCUGGGCCAGUCAGAGGCAACUUCGGCAGGCACUGCUAGACUCGAGUUAGGGCACAGCCUGCCUGGGAGUGGAGCUGAUGCUGAGGGAAGGGAGGCCGAGAGGAGGGCGGAGUCCUGAGGGCAUCCUCGGAGCUCCAGCUCCAGCUGGUCUUUUCAUUAGAGAACCAGCGUCCCUGCUCCAACCCAACCUACCUGGCUCCACUGACGAGAAAGACCUGCUUUACACGCCAGUGUCCCAGGGACAGACGCCUGGCCCAUCAGCUUGGGAGCUGUCCAGAUAACUCUCAGCCCCCAAGGCAACCGCCAGCCAACACUGAAGACGGUGCAGGAGUCACACUCCAAGGGCCCAGCCUCUUCCCAGGGCUCUGUCCCCCGUUCCAGGGGGACCAGAAGAGGCCUCUGAUGAGCCCCCGUGCCACAGAGCUGAGUCCAGUCUCAAGGUGUGGAGAAGUACAGGCUGACCUCUCAUUUCCUCAGAGCCUGAGCCGGCAAAGACACAGCGGGUCAAGUUCACAGAUAAGUGUAAAAACUGACACUGGCCCCUCUCAAGGGGUGGAGAGAAUCUUUCUCACAAAAGUUUUCACUAUUCAUCCCACGCUUUUUCUCCCUAAAAGCAAAGACAGAUUUUAGACAGAUUUUAGAGACAUUCUUUGAAGAUCUUUCUGGUCCCAUGUGACCUGUUGCAGUGACUGAGACCCUAAUAAAGAGCAACGGGCAUCUCCAUAGCAGGUGGUCCUCAUGACACCUCCCUGAUCGACCCUGACCUGGGCACCAGGUCCCGGACCAGCCCCAGGCAUAUUUUAUAUCCAUAUGCCUCUUGUCAUCCCCAUGAUAACCCCGUUCUACAGGUGAGGAAACUGAGGCUUGGCAAGGUCCCACAGCUGGUAAAUAGCAGAACCAAGUAGUGCCGUCUGUUUGACCUGUCCCAGCCCACACUCCUGCCAUGGGGCCACUCCCUUUUGUAACGGGGUGAGCACUGGCCUAGAAUCUGAGGAUCCAGCUCUGAGCCAGUGACGCACGCUCUCCCUGGAAGCUCAGCUUCGUUACUUUCUAAACGGGGGGAGGAAAGGCCACCCUCCCACUGCCCAGGUGAGGGUUCUGGGUGGGGGCAGGAAGAGAGUAGAGUGAAAAUAAAUUUCUUUUAAAUUUAUAGCUAACCAGAUUUUCUCUGGCAGCAAUUUAUAUGUUUCCCCUAAUUCAGGCAACUGUGAAUACGAGAAAAGCAUUCAGCCGUUUAAGAGUGCUAUUUAACUCAUUACAAAGAACAAUUCUUUUGAAUCUCUGAAAAUUUUCUGGAAGUCACAUGUCAUUUUCACUUUCACCUAUUAAAACUGAAGCUUACAUUCAGCGUUUUAAAAAGCAUCCCGGUGCAGAGGCAGCCAGCAGCUGGCGGCACAGGUUGGGUCUCGGGCCGAGCCAGAGGUCCUCCCUCCCUGGGAGCACAGACCAUCUCAGCAAGUUGCCGUCUUAGGCUCAGACCUGAACUUAUUUUGAGAGAAAGAAAGACCUGAAAAAGGUCACAAUGAACCCACAGAAAGUCUUCAACGUCUGUCAUUAUCUCGACUCACUGUGGGCUUAGGAGUGGUCUGCACGCAUUCCAGGAGCCCAGCAGGAAAAAGCUGGGCCCUGAGGAAGUGGAGUUCCUGGGCUGGAGUGGAGCCCAAGGCCUGUAUGAGAUCCCUUCACACAUCUGCUUCCCUCAUAAGGGAUCCCUAACUCCCAGGCUCUGCCAGGUAGAAACCAAACUAGCGCAGGGCCAGGAGCCAGAGCAAGGGCUUACCUGGUAGGAACAUCUGCUAAGCUCUGAACCAAAUGCAAAAGCUGCUAUUUUAAUGAUCAUAAAUUCCUACCGCAGGUUCCCCCAGUACCCUGGCUACCGUGUUAAUGGAAUCAUUUUUCAAUUUACUGGGUACAGAGGAGACCCAGUGCACAGGGCCGAGCAGAGGGUCUGUGUGUGUGUGUGUGUGUGUGUGUGUGUGUGUGUGUGUACACGCCUGCAUUUUUCAGGAGUAACGAUAUUUGCAUAACACACAUAUCGUUGCAGAUACCAGAUAAACAGGAAGUUUCAGAACCGAUGCUGUUUCCUUUCGCUGUGAAUCAGCAGCCUCUUUCUUCUCAUACAGAAAUGGUGAAAAUCACAGGGUAUGGCUCUGGAAUGUGCAGUACGGGAGGAAGAGCACAAAGGUUUCCAGUCCCCUUUUUUGGUGGUGGGGGCGGGGGGCUUCCCUGGACACCCAGCCCUGCGCAUGCUCCUCAGGCCCGCAGUCUCCGCCUGCCUGGCUUCCUCCAGCGCUUCAGGAGAUGCUUCCAUGCCAGCCCUCGACACAUUAGCCGAACAGUGUCCAGCGGCACAACGUUGUUCGUUUCACCAGUGCUUGGAAGAAGCCCAGCCAGGAGGGUGAGGGAGCCCUUACCUCCUGGUUCCUGGCCCCAGGUUUGUGUCACCGAGAGGCCAUGUGGAGUACGGAGCACGCCCUGGACUUGGCACCAGAAUCCCUGGGUUCAGACCCCUGCUCCAGCCAGAGAGACCUUGGGCCACCCGUUUUCCCCUCUGAGGCUGGGUUUCCCUAUCAGUUCCGUGGGGCUGCAGGUUGGGGACUGUAAUACACGUGUAAUACACGUGAACAGCAGGGAAUAUAAAGCUGCAAAUAAAAAGCACACGCUUUGGAGUCAGAUGUCUGAGUUCAAAACCCAGCUCCAUUGUGUUCUGGCUAUGAGACUUGGGGCAAAUUGCUGAACUUUUCCAAGUCCAUUUGCUCAUCUAUGAAACGGAGAUAAUAAGAAUAGUCUAACGGAACCCUCGUACACUGCUGGUAGGAAUGUAAAUCGGUGCAGUCACUGUGGAAAACAGUAUGGAAGUUCCUGGAAAAACUAAAUAGAGAACUAGCAUAUGAUCCAGCAAUUCCACUCCUGGAUAUGUAUCUGGAAAAAACAAAAACACUAAUUCGAAACAUUACAUGCACCCCAGUGUUCAUAGCAGCACUGUUUACAAUAACCAAGACGUGGAGGCAACUCAAGUGCACACCAACAAAUGAUUGGAUUAAGAAGCUGUGGUAUAGAGAUACACAAUGGAAUAAUACUCAGCCCAAAAAAAAAAAAAAAGAAAUACUGCCAUUUGCAGCAACGUGGACGGACCUAGAGAAUAUUAUGCUUAGUGAAAUGUCAGAGAAAACAAGUACUGCAUGAUAUCACUUACAUGUAGAAUCUAAAAAAAGAUACAAACGAAUGUAUAUGCAAAGCAGAACAGACUCACAGAUAUAAAAAACAAACUUGCGGUUACCAAAGGGGAGAGGGAAGGUGAGACGGACAAAUUAGGGGGUAUGGGAUUAACAGAUACAAACUGCUAUGUAUAAAAUAGGUAAGAAACAAAGAUGUACUGUACAGCACAAGGAACUGUAGCCGUUAUCUAUCUUGUAAUAACUUAUAAGGGAGUAUAAUCUGCAAAAAUACUGAAUCACUGUGCUGUACACCUGAAACUAACAAUAUUGUAAGUCAACUAUAAUUCAAUUGAAAAAAAAAAUAAUCUACCUGACAGUCUAUUGAGAGGGUGAAAUGACAUAUUACUUAGCACCCAAAGCAGUGUCUGGCUCACAGGAAACUCUCAUCUGUGUGAACCAGUUUUCCGACUGCCUUCUGCCCCUCCUCCUUCCUCCGUCCUCCUUCCACCUGCCUCACCCAACACUGAAAGACCCGUGAGGUAGGGACCACUGCUGAGCUUCACCGGUGACUGCCCAGCACCUGGCUUGGCAUGUAAUAAGGCUUAACAAAUCAGUUGAAUAAAAGAGUAGAUGUUCCUGGUUCAUAGCAGGUGCUGAGGAAAUGUAGAAUAUGUAUGUAUGAAAGCCACAGACCACAUCAUGCUCUAGUUUUGAAAUCCCUAAAAGGGGACCAGUAUAGAAUAAUGAUUACAGGCAUCGCAGACUUAUACAGCAGUCAGAUCUGGUGUGUCCUUUAACUUCUCUCAGCCUCACUUCCCUGAUCUGUAAAAUGGGCACAGUAGUAGUAACUCACCCACGCUGAGUUGUUUUAGGGUUAAAUGAGAUAAUACAUGCAAAAUACUUAACAUAGCGCUCUGCACAUAAUAAGCAUGUAGAGGAAUGUGUUGGAGAAAUCCCAGCUUCAAGACCCUAGAGGAAGAUGAUUCAAAGACUUGACUUUUUUCCCAAGAGGACAAGCCUUGGGCCUGGUAACCCUCUUGCCUCAUUUCUCUUGGUUCCCUCCUUCCCAGCAGUAUCCCUCUUCCUCCUUAGGCCUGGUGGUCUUUUCUUGUUGAAGAGUUGGUACUUCUGAAGCCCUGCUCCCACCACCCCUGUGGGAUUUCUGCACAGGACAGCGAGCUACGCCUCACUGACCCCACUCUGCUGCUCUGUGCAUGUGUGCGUGGGUGCAUGGGUGCAAGGGUUUGGGAGGCUUGUCUCUGCAAGGAACACAGCACGCUGAUCCAGGUAUUUACUCUGGGGCUUGGAUGCAGUGGACGCAAGGGCGAAACACCAAGGUCUGUACUCAGAUAGCCUGACUUUGCAUCAGAGCUCUGCACGGACAAGCUGUCUGAUCUCAGACAAGUCUGCUACCCUCUCUCAACCUCAAUUUCCUAAUCUGUAAAAUGGGGGGACCAGUGCUAGUACCCAGGGCUGCUUUUGAAAACACUUAAUAACCAGCUUUGGCACUAACCUAUUAAAUGAAUGCCAGUCAGUACAGGCACACCUGCUAAAAAUUAACUCUGCUAAUUUCUACUGCAGAGGUUGCUAUGGCUCCUGGCGCAUUAUAAACACCCUAAACUUUAGCCACGACUUUUAUGUUUAGCUCAUGUCACACAGUUCCCAGAACAGUCCCCAGGGGAGGGACAUUCAGAGAGGUGGUGCCUCUAAACAGACCUGGUCUUUGUCCUCUCCCAGGUUAACUAAGAACCCCUUGCUUCUCUUUGCUCACCAGAGAGUCACAAAAGUGCUGGGGAUGGGAAAGGACCUUGGUAUUAUCUGCCCAAUGCAAAUCAGUGCACCCCUGUGUUCCCCUUGGGUGGGAUCUGUUUUCCCCAUGAGAGUUUUUCGCAAAUCUUCAUCACGGCCACAGAAGUGCAAAAUACAUGGUGGCCCAGUCACAGGGUUUGUUCACAGUACAAGCCAAGCCAGUGUGUGGCUCGCAGAUCACACACUGGGGCCCCCUGCAUUGCCCAGAUGGAAAAAUCCAGAGAUGUUUAUUGUGCAUGUACCACUGGACAGCUUCUGUGUCUGAGGCCAGAGUCUCUCCCUCCUGUUACCACUCUUGGACCAGGUUUUUGAAAAGGGUCCCAGGGCAUGCAGAGCAUGCAGGCAGCCCUCCACAGCAGCAGGAAUUUAUUCUCGGGCACCCCCCAUUCUGCUUCCUGCACCCCAACAACCCAUAGCCAGAAACAUCAAGGACACCGGGCCCAGCUGCCCGGAGGCUAGAGGUCACUUCUGCCCCCAGCAAGAGUCUGCAGGAGGCCACGUCUGCUAAGGGCCAGGACAGCCGCUCAGCCUGGAGGCCCUGCCUGGGCUUUGACGGCCUGCUGGGCCCCCGUCAUGAAGACUAAAAGCAGCCAUCUCUCUCCCGCAGACCGGGCAGUCCAUCUAUGUUUGGGGCUGCGUAUCUAUGAAGUCCUAUCCUGUCGCCUCAUAAAAGUUGCUCCCACUGGAGCGAGUGUGGAAGCGGGCCAGGGAGGGAGGUGACUCUACCUCAGGGCAGCCCAUCAGGACCAAAUAAUAGAAUGCAAACCCAAAUGGGAUUUUCUAGUAAAUGUUUUAACGGAGGACUUUUUUUCUUUUUAGAACUGCAUCCUUCAGGAUUAGAGCUCAGCAGGAAUUUACCCAUGGGUUUUUCGAGCAUCUAUAUUUGUCCUUUGCUAUGUCACAACUGUCAACAAAAUAACAUUGUAAUCAUAAAGCUGCCAUUUCUUGUCUGUAAGCUCUGCUCCAACCUCUAGCAGGUAUUUAUAGUAUACAUAUUCUGUCCUUUGAUGUAUUCCUUACCAAAACCCAUGAGAAAGGAAGUAUAAUAACAAUACUAAUUAUUAUAAUAAUUAUGCUUUUGAUUAUAAUUACCAAUAAUAAAAUAAAUUUUAUUUUAAUAAAUAAAACAUGCAUCAAACUUUUUUUCACAUGCCAGGCUUUGUGCUCCUUGUCCUAUAACUAACAUCUCACUUGUUCCCUCCAUGAGCUCCAUAAAGUAAGUACUAUUAUUGCCCCAUUUCACAGAUGAGUAAGAGGAGACCUGGGACUCUAGCCCAGAUCGGCUGCCCCCAGAGCCUGUGAGCUUCCCCACUGCACCAUCCAGCCUCCCUUGUCAGC